rnacentral:misc_RNA from 1 species
GAUGAAGAACGCAGCGAAAUGCGAUACGUAAUGUGAAUUGCAGAAUUCAGUGAAUCAUCGAGUCUUUGAACGCACAUUGCGCCCCCUGGUAUUCCGGGGGGCAUGCCUGUCCGAGCGUCAUUGCUGCCCUCAAGCACGGCUUGUGUGUUGGGCCUCCGUCCUCCUCCCGGGGGACGGGCCCGAAAGGCAGCGGCGGCACCGCGUCCGGUCCUCGAGCGUAUGGGGCUUCGUCACCCGCUCUUGUAGGCCCGGCCGGCGCUUGCCGACACAUCAAUCUUUUUUCCAGGUUGACCUCGGAUCAGGUAGGGAUACCCGCUGAACUUAAGCAUAUGAAUAAGCGGAGGA